rnacentral:lncRNA from 1 species
GGAGGGAGUAUAUUUGUAACAUGUAUUAUGAAGCGAUAAACAUAUCAAUUUCAUGUUAAACAUAUAGCUCAUGCUAAUAUUUCAACUAAACACAUGUCAAACACUAAUAAAUGUUUUUUGCAAAAUGAAAAACAAUGAAUAGGGAUGGAAGAUUAUAAAGAGUAAUUGAUGAUAAAGUAUAACACAACUAGAUAUAACAAUACAGACAUUUCUAUAUGGGUAAUGCAUUACAACAUGAAUAAAUAAGGAGGAGCUCUAAAAGCAAGAAAUUUUGAUAGCUACGUAUAUAUGCCAAUUCAUAAAUUUAUAGCAGUUAUGUCUCAUAAAUAAAACUAUCAGCCCGUGCAAGAGCACGGGUUUGAUACACUAGUAUUAUUAAAUCACAGGAAGAUAAUGAAAUAAGAUAUUUCAAAGAUGUAUUUCAGAAAGCCAUGGACCAUCAAGGAGUCAUAUCAGGCCUUAAAAGACAGGGUUACAAACCCUAGCACGUUUGGCAUAUGAAGAUUAUUUGAAGCCCACCAUGAUCAGGUGUGUAAGGCCGACUACACAAGUGAUACGAAUACAAGAUAGUUGGAAGGUUUUCCUAGCAUUCCACCUCGACAUAAUUUAUUUUGUCUUCAAG